GAUGAACGCUGGCGGCGUGCCUAAUACAUGCAAGUCGAGCGAACAGACGAGGAGCUUGCUCCUCUGACGUUAGCGGCGGACGGGUGAGUAACACGUGGAUAACCUACCUAUAAGACUGGGAUAACUUCGGGAAACCGGAGCUAAUACCGGAUAAUAUAUUGAACCGCAUGGUUCAAUAGUGAAAGACGGUUUUGCUGUCACUUAUAGAUGGAUCCGCGCCGCAUUAGCUAGUUGGUAAGGUAACGGCUUACCAAGGCAACGAUGCGUAGCCGACCUGAGAGGGUGAUCGGCCACAUUGGAGCUGAGACACGGUCCAGACUCCUACGGGAGGCAGCAGUAGGGAAUCUUCCGCAAUGGGCGAAAGCUUGACGGAGCAACGCCGCGUGAGUGAUGAAGGUCUUCGGAUCGUAAAACUCUGUUAUUAGGGAAGAACAAAUGUGUAAGUAACUAUGCACGUCUUGACGGUACCUAAUCAGAAAGCCACGGCUAACUACGUG
rnacentral:rRNA from 1 species